GCAUGGCUUUGGAUUUAUGAUUGGGUCUUGUCUCGUGAUCCAUUCAUAGUGUAUACCAUGCUACAGAAAUUUGUAUUCCGAACCAUUGUCAAACCUUUUGUAGGUUUGGUUCACUGAUGUGAGUACUACAAGC